UCUAUCAUCAAAUACAGUCUCUCUGGUUAGUUAAAAUGGGCUUUCGGAAUUGUGGAAAGAGUGUGUAUUCACUUGGAGGAAUACAGACUCCCCCAACAGUAGCCCAUAACUGGGGUCAGUGCAACAUGCCACACAGUAUUUGUAAUUACAGUUCUUUCAUCAUCUUCUAAAUGUUGAAACAUUUAGAUGUUUCACUACAGGUAUCUGUACUAACAAACAUACCUGUUUUAGUAUAUGUGGGUACACUAUAUAUGUCCACAUGAAUGUUUUAAGUCUGAUGCAUUAUAAUGCCAUAAAAAAAGUCUUUAAAAACUUUUUUUUUCUUUAGAUGGCAAAAGCACUGAUGGAAGCCUUCCCUCUGAUGCCAGAUGUAGAUUUUGACACAACAAAAAAGGCAAUGAAAAGUGAAAGAAGAACUCUCGCUCUUCAAAUGCUUGAUGCAUCAGGUAUACCAUGUGCAUUUCGACUUACAAUACAUAAACAUACACACAUAUAUAUUGCAGAAUCUCCCCAGCUCUUACAUUACUGAACCAGUCUUGACUGGUGAAUUUAAGGUUUUUUAUUUUAUUUGAUUAAGAUCAACCACCAUCAUCAAAGUCACCACAAUAACCUCAAUAAAUGUGAAAACUAAAACAUAUACAAACAUUGUAAUACAAAACAUGAACUUAACCAAUAAAGAUAACAAAACUAAACAGACCUCGCUGCUUUCGCUGGGGAACACUAAGUUUUGAUUUCUUUGUGACAAGCACAUCUUGACAGUUCAAUUAAUUCACUGUUUCAAUGACUCUUUCAACUUAUAUAGAGUCUGCCCUCAUUAGCUCCUGCAGCCCGUGAGGUCAAUUGUUAGGAUGGCCCUUAGCGGGAGGCUGAAAUAGGAGUCUGGAGGCAGGGGUAGUGCAACCAACCAGGUGUUUUAAUCUCCAACAUUUAACAAAGAUGACAUUCCUGCUUACAUGGUCAGGAGGUGUCGCAGCACCCGCACCUAUUACUCCUAUCAUGUGGCCAACAUGCAGGCUUUGUAAUCCUGGGCGGCACCAAUUAACACACUUCCCAAAAGACAGGGUAGAACAAACCACAUAUACACCAAACAACUUAACAAAACAACCAAUCUUCAACACAUAAAUAACACACAUUCUUCAUGGUUACAUACUCAUUUACUAUCUAAAACUACCCUCCUAUAAAUAUUAAUUUAUUCAUCACUUCUAAAAUGCCUCAGGCUUUGUUCCCCCUCUUCCAUCUGCACUUGGUCUCUUCCAGAAUCUUUAUCAGGUGUUCAGGCCCCGGGGACUCUUUUCGCCUGAACACCCUACAGAGGAACAGACAGAGGUAAGCCAUAAUCUACAAACAUUUGUAAUACAUUUCAUAAUUACCAUAUUUACUUCAUUUAUAUUAUUCCCCCCCCCAGGACACCCUCAAUACCCACUGAGAUGCCCUGCAUAAAACACCCAAUAAAAUACUUCAAUCUAUUUGUACCCGUCUCAUUAUCAUUUACACAUAAUUAAAGUGUUAUCCUGACCAGUAAUGAAGACCUUCAUUACAUCAAUAAAAAAAAAAAAAAAUUACAAAAUGCAAAUUCCAUUUCACAAAAUAUAAACCACCAACAGUGCCAAUCCAAACAGACAAAGAUAUCUAAACGAUAUGCAACAUUGAUAAUUUAGAAAAUUUACUUUAGUUUACAAAUGUAUUUUAUAUAAUCUCCAAGUAUUAAUAAUUUUAAAUUAAUUUUCUGAAAUAAUUAGCUAUUUUGUUAUAUAUAUAUAUAUAUAUAUCGAUCUAUCAAUCUAUCUUGUUUGAAUAUGCUGUAUAUUCUUCUUGAUUACAGUAUUUGAUGACCACUGUUGGUGUGCGAUGUGCGCUGCAUACAAAGCCCCGGGGUCUGGCCCUGGAAUGACAGACUGGAUCCAGUGUGACAACUGUGACCGAUGGUACCAUGCCCUGUGCAUAAAUAUGAAGAGCACAGAAUUUCAAA